UGAAAAGAAAUUAAAAGAGAAACUCGAAGGUGCCGCUCAUGACCCUGGGGAUUACUUGACACCGGCUGAGGCGGCGGCGGCGGCGGCGGAAGGAGGGGCAAGGGUCGCCGCUGGUAUUCCGUACCCGCCGCCGCCGGCGCAAUCGUGCGGCCAGCCCCUCUCGAGCCCUUCUCCGUCCGACUCCAUGUUCAACAACUCCCCUGCACUCCCUCUCUCUCUCGCUCUCUGCACGAUCCCACAUCCUCACCAUCGUCUCUCUCUCUCUCUCUCUCUUUCUAUUCACCACCUCCGCAGGAGGAGUAGCAAAGAGCAAGAGAGUAAAUCCCGGCAGCGACAACCUCGGCGGCAGGCGGAGCCCCAGGCGACGAUGGCCAGGGCGCCUCCUCCUCCGACAAACCCCCAGGAGGAGGAGGAGGAAGCGCUGCCACCGCCGCACACGCUCCCCAGCAAAUCCAAGAACUCAGAGCGUUCUUCAAUCAGUGUCUGCAUCCUGAGGAGCAGAAGUAAAGGUUGGAGCUGAGCA